AGUGCGAGCCUUCUGUUAUGCCUGGGCAGGGCCACCAGAGGGCUCCUUGGUCUAGCGGUAACGCCA
rnacentral:miRNA from 1 species